UUUCGGAUCGUAAAACUCUGUUGUUAGGGAAGAACAAGUACCGGAGUAACUGCCGGUACCUUGACGGUACCUAACCAGAAAGCCACGGCUAACUACGUGCCAGCAGCCGCGGUAAUACGUAGGUGGCAAGCGUUGUCCGGAAUUAUUGGGCGUAAAGCGCGCGCAGGCGGUUCCUUAAGUCUGAUGUGAAAGCCCACGGCUCAACCGUGGAGGGUCAUUGGAAACUGGGGAACUUGAGUGCAGAAGAGAAGAGCGGAAUUCCACGUGUAGCGGUGAAAUGCGUAGAGAUGUGGAGGAACACCAGUGGCGAAGGCGGCUCU
rnacentral:rRNA from 1 species